rnacentral:lncRNA from 1 species
AACAAUUGGCUUGGCUUUUAACUUACUAUCCCAAAGCUCAUCAGUCAAAUUGGUUUAUAAACAUACAUACAGGUUAAGAAAUACCCAUAUGAAAAUGGAAAAAAAAAAAAAAGAUUUGGUUUAUAUUUACACUGCUUUUUCUUCUUUAAAGGAUACUGUUUGUAAAGAUUUGUUGACUCACAAGCCACAAACUUGAAGAGAAGGUAGUUUCACUUGUAUACUUUUUCCUCCUCAAAUUUUUUUAUUUGAAAAUAAAAAUAAUGGUCAAAUUA